rnacentral:rRNA from 1 species
GUGGGGAAUAUUGGGCAAUGGGGGAAACCCUGACCCAGCAACGCCGCGUGAAGGAAGAAGGCUUUCGGGUUGUAAACUUCUUUUAUGAGGGACGAAGAAGUGACGGUACCUCAUGAAUAAGCCACGGCUAACUACGUGCCAGCAGCCGCGGUAAUACGUAGGUGGCAAGCGUUGUCCGGAUUUACUGGGUGUAAAGGGCGCGUAGGCGGGAUAGCAAGUCAGGUGUGAAAUCCGGGGGCUUAACCCUCGAACUGCACUUGAAACUGUUAUUCUUGAGUGAUGGAGAGGCAAGCGGAAUUCCUAGUGUAGCGGUGAAAUGCGUAGAUAUCCGGAGGAACACCGGUGGCGAAGGCGGCCACCUGGACAGGUACUGACGCUGAGGCGCGAAAGCGUGGGGAGCAAACAGGAUUAGAAACCCGGGUAGUCC